rnacentral:rRNA from 1 species
GGAUCAAUAUGCUGGUCGUGCCUUUGGUACGUACUGGUAUUAUUGGUUUCUCCUUUCUGAUGAAUCACGAUGUCAUUAAUUUGGUGUCAUGGGGAAUCAGGACUGUUACUUUGAAAAAAUUAGAGUGUUUAAAGCAGGCUCGCGCUUGAAUACAUUAGCAUGGAAUAAUGAAAUAGGACGUUUGAUUCUAUUUCGUUGGUUUCUAGAAUUGACGUA